CGAAAUGCGAUAAGUAAUGUGAAUUGCAGAAUUCAGUGAAUCAUCGAAUCUUUGAACGCACAUUGCGCCCGCCAGUAUUCUGGCGGGCAUGUCUGUUCGAGCGUCAUUUCAACCAUCAAGCCCCGCGCUUGUGUUGGGGACCUGCGGCUGCCGCAGGCCCUGAAAACCAGUGGCGGGCUCGCUGUCACACCGGGCGUAGUAGAUUUUAUCUCGCUCAGGGCGUGCUGCGGGUUCCGGCCGUUAAAAAGCCUUUUUUACCCAAGGUUGACCUCGGAUCAGGUAGGAAGACCCGCUGAACUUAAGC
rnacentral:misc_RNA from 1 species